CGAGUGGCGUAAGGGUGAGUAAUGCAUUGAUAACCUACCUUUGAGAUGGGAACAACAGCGUUCCAAGCAAUUGGAGCUACCGAAAGGGCUGCUAAUACCCAAUAAAACUAUUAUUGCUUUGGUGAUGAUAGUCAAACGUGCGGAGUCGAAAGGUUCCGUUUGCUCAAAGAGGGGUCAAUGUCCUAUCAGCUUGUUGGUGGGGUAAUGGCCUACCAAGGCGAAGACGGGUAGCCGGCCUGAGAGGGUGGUCGGCCACACUGGGACUGAGACACUGCCCAGACUCCUACGGGAGGCUGCAGUCGAGAAUCUUUCGCAAUGCCCGCAAGGGUGACGAAGCGACGCCGCGUGCGGGAAGAAGGCCUUCGGGUUGUAAACCGCUGUCGGGAGUUAGGAAGUGCAAGGAUGUUAAUAGCGUUCUUGCUUGACUAAGGCUCCGGAGGAAGCCACGGCUAACUCUGUGCCAGCAGCCGCGGUAAUACAGAGGCGGCAAGCGUUGUUCGGAAUUAUUGGGCGUAAAGAGCACGUAGGCGGCUGUGUAAGUCGGUUGUGAAA
rnacentral:rRNA from 1 species